rnacentral:rRNA from 1 species
GACGAACGCUGGCGGCGUGCUUAACACAUGCAAGUCGAACGGAAAGGCCUGCUUUCCCUUGUGGAUUGCGGGUGCUCGAGUGGCGAACGGGUGAGUAACACGUGAGUGAUCUGCCCCCAACUUGGGUAUAAGCCUGGGAAACUGGGUCUAAUUCCCGAUAGGACUGCAGGGUGGUGCCUGUGGUGGAAAACGAUUUUCUAGUGGUUGGGGAUGAGCUCGCGGCCUAUCAGCUUGUUGGUGGGGUAAUGGCCUACCAAGGCGGCGACGGGUAGCCGGCCUGAGAGGGUGGACGGCCACAUUGGGACUGAGAUACGGCCCAGACUCCUACGGGAGGCAGCAGUGGGGAAUAUUGCACAAUGGGCGGAAGCCUGAUGCAGCGACGCCGCGUGGGGGAUGACGGCCUUCGGGUUGUAAACUCCUUUCGACCGCGAGGAAGCCACCUGGUUGGAAGGGUGGUGACGGUAGUGGUAGAAGAGGCACCGGCUAACUACGUG